GUCUUUAACAACAAGCGCUUCGGAAAAAGAAACACUGCUCUGCCGAAGUCGGCCAUUUUGUAAAUCGCCGUGACGACUCGGUAGCAGUAAAGUGCCAUAACAAGUGAAGAAAGAAAGUGAAAAGGAAAAGAUGAACUGCAAACGGGGAGCAGAAUUACAGGUGCCAGAAUGGAUUUCACUCAGAAUUAACAGAUGUGAUCAAGCAGGAGAAGGGACAAAGAAGAGUAGCGAGAAAUUUGGGGGAUUUGGUGUUGAAGGUGCUGCGCUGUUUAGAGAGUCCAUCUACAGUAACAAGAUCCAAAGCAUUGCUCCUACUACUGCUACUGAUACAAGACAACGCACACACUCUGCUUUACUGCUGCCAACACAGGUCCAACGACACCAAGAAGAAGGAGCUCAAAGUCACCGGUUUCUGAGUCCUAUAUGUGGCUUUUAAAGUAGGAAUCAAAUUAAAGGAAGGAAAAAGACACACGGAGGAGGAUUGGGGAUUCUUUUGAGCAAUUAGUUUGACAAGUUUGCUUUUUAAAUCAGUUUGCCUUCAUAAUCUUUAUGCUUUGUUUUCUUUGAUGAUAAUUAUAAACAGUGAUAUCAGGAUGCGCUGUGUUGCGUGAAUGUGUGGUCUCUGCCCAUAAAGUUUCUCAAGUCACUCAAGUUUACAUUUACUAACUCUUCUUUUCCUGUGUCCUCAACUGUUAAACAAGUAACGU